rnacentral:rRNA from 1 species
UACAGAGGGUGCGAGCGUUAAUCGGAAUUACUGGGCGUAAAGGGCGCGUAGGCGGUUAGAUAAGUUGGAUGUGAAAGCCCUGGGCUUAACCUAGGAACUGCAUACAAAACUGUUUAGCUAGAGUGCUGUAGAGGGUAGUGGAAUUUCCGGUGUAGCGGUGAAAUGCGUAGAUAUCGGAAGGAACACCAGUGGCGAAGGCGGCUACCUGGACAGACACUGACGCUGAGGCGCGAAAGCGUGGGGAGCAAACAGG